AAGUACGAUCAUACCAGCACUAAUGCACCGGAUCCCAGCAGAACUCUGCAGUGAAGUGUGCUUGGGCGAGAGUAGUACAAGGAUGGGUGACCUUUUGGGAAGUCCUAAUGUUGCACUUC
rnacentral:rRNA from 1 species